UACUAUAAACAGACCAAACUCAUCUUGUCUCCUCUUAUUAUCUUUGGUUGAUGCGAAAAAAACAAGCAUGGCGGCGCGCAAAAACUACCCAACGUCGGAUCACUUUCGAUUUCUAGAAAGUGUUUUACUCAAGUAUUUCGAUCAAUGGCCGAGCCGAUGACCCGUGUUUCAAGAUGGCUGCUACCUACAUUCCAGUUAGCGUUGUGAAGCUACCGUUAUUGAUCAUUAGACCAGACCACACAACAUUUUCACCAAACAGCAAACAUCUUACAAGUUUUUCCGGUUUUGACCAUUCUGCCCACCCUGACCCUGAG